rnacentral:rRNA from 1 species
AGUGAACGCUGGCGGUAGGCCUAACACAUGCAAGUCGAACGGCAGCACAGUAAGAGCUUGCUCUUACGGGUGGUGAGUGGCGGACGGGUGAGGAAUACAUCGGAAUCUACUUUUUCGUGGGGGAUAACGUAGGGAAACUUACGCUAAUACCGCAUACGACCUACGGGUGGAAGCAGGGGAUCUUCGGACCUUGCGCGAUUGAAUGAGCCGAUGUCGGAUUAGCUAGUUGGCGGGGUAAAGGCCCACCAAGGCGACGAUCCGUAGCUGGUCUGAGAGGAUGAUCAGCCACACUGGAACUGAGACACGGUCCAGACUCCUACGGGAGGCAGCAGUGGGGAAUAUUGGACAAUGGGCGCAAGCCUGAUCCAGCCAUACCGCGUGGGUGAAGAAGGCCUUCGGGUUGUAAAGCCCUUUUGUUGGGAAAGAAAAGCAGCAGGUUAAUACCCCGCUGUUCUGACGGUACCCAAAGAAUAAGCACCGGCUAACUUCGUG